GGAGAUCACUGCCUAUCUGAGGCAUUCUGAAGGACAUAGCAGUACACCUUGUAUGCAUUACAUUCCCUCCCCAAGAAUUUUCUGAAGACAAAUCAAAUAUAAGGAAGAUUUACAAGAAGAGAACGGCCUGCAGUUUUCUUAUCAAAGAGAGGAGCAGUGGAGGACAGAAGUUUGAGCAGCUCCUGACCCCUCACAGUGCUGCUUCCUCUGACAACAGGUGAAGACAGUGCUGCAGCCUGAGACCACAGACACAUCGUUAAAGCCACUGAUUACUUUUCCCAUUCUCUUGGGUGAAAAAUGGCUCUGGCAGCCCUUGUCUCAACUGGACACAGGCACGGGUGUAGUGGAGUGAAUUUUGAUAGCAUUAAUGGGAAAAGAGGUCAUGCUUGUGUUGAACAAGUGUCAGAUGUGGGUGUUGGAGGAAGAAGCAGUAGAAGUUGAACCUUCCCACCAAUAUUCCAUUAUGUUUUGUUGCCAUGCAACAGAUGACAGUAGAGGGACAGUCUGAUGUGGAAGUGCAUAUAAAGCAAAGGUGUGACUGAAUUCCUUCAAAUGGAAAUAAUGGCACCCACUGACAUUCACUGAUACUUGCUGAACAUUUAUGGAGAUCAAACAGUUGAUGUGAGCGCAGUGAGAUGGUGGCUGGUGCUUUUCAGCAGUUGUGGCAGUGACAUGAUAAGCCACCAUCUGGACAGUCAUGUACAGCUGUUAUACCACAAAAUGAAGAGCAUCCUGAUCAGCUCAUCUGUGUGAGCUGAAUGGGCUGGUGAAAGAUGGACUGUGUGGUCAACUUUUUACUAGCAACAACAGUGUCAUAGAAGCUGUGAAACAGUGGGUCACUUCCACUGGUGCAGAUUUUCACCAGGUUUUCAGAGUGUGGUAUGCUGGUAUGCAAGCUCUUAUGCAUUCCUGGUGAAAAUGCAUAGCUAAUGAUGGUGAUUAUGUUGAAAAAAAAAUAUUAUUCUGUACUUGAGAAUCUGCUCUAUCAAAUAGUUUUGUGCUCUUUGUAUCUGUUGUAACUUUCAUGUAAAUAAAUAGGAGGUGUUACUUCUGGAACAACCUACAUAGAAAGAAUUAAGAGUAAGCCUAUGAUUCAUACAAAAUUUAAGCAGCAUUGUAUUUCAUUCUCUAUUUAAACUGAUGGCAAACGUUUCACUAUCAUUACACAGGAAAAUGCAAAAAAAAAAGUCUGUU